rnacentral:rRNA from 1 species
CGCGUAGGCGGGCCUUCAAGUCGGUUGUGAAAACUGGUAGCUUAACUACCAGCCUGCACUCGAUACUAGAGGUCUUGAGUACGGAAGAGGAAAGCGGAAUUCCAGGUGUAGCGGUGAAAUGCGUAGAUAUCUGGAAGAACACCGGUAGCGAAGGCGGCUUUCUGGUCCGAUACUGACGCUGAAGCGCGAAGGCUAGGGUAGCAAACAGGAUUAGAUACCCUGGUAGUCC